UACAGAGUCUUACAAGAACGCACAUACUGGGGAUAAACAUUAUCAAUAAGAUGUUAGAGGGAGGAGAUGAUUUAGUCACAAUCAAUGGUACUCUACAGAGACAUAAAACACACAUACUGUAGAUAAACAUUAUCAAUAAGAUGCUAGAGAGAGGAGAAGAUUUAGUCACAACCAAUGGUACUCUACAGAGACACAUAAACACACAUACUGGAGAUAAACAUUAUCAAUAAGAUGUUAGAGGGAGGAGAUGAUUUAGUCACACUCAAUGGUACUCUACAGAGACACAUCAACACACAUACUGGAGAUAAACAUUAUCAAUAAGAUGUUAGGGGGAGGAGAUGAUUUAGUCACAAUCAAUGGUACUCUACAGAGACACAUCAACACACAUACUGUAGAUAAACAUUAUCAAUAAGAUGUUAGAGAGAGGAGAUGAUUUAGUCACAAUCAAUGGUACUCUACAGAGACACAUAAACACACAUACUGUAGAUAAACAUUAUCAAUAAGAAGGAGAUGAUUUAGUCACAAUCAAUGGUACUCUACAGAGACACAUAAACACACAUACUGGAGAUAAAACAUUAUCAAUAAGAUGUUAGAGGGAGGAGAUGAUUUAGUCACAAUCAAUGGUACUAGAUAAACAUUAUCAAUAAGAUGUUAGAGGGAGGAGAUGAUUUAGUCACACUCAAUGGUACUCUACAGAGACACAUAAACACACAGGCUGGUAAAACACUUCAUAAAUGUGAUGUUUGUGCUAAAGAAUUUUCUCGAGAUAGUCACUUAAAGAGACACUUGAGAACACAUACUGGCGAAAAACCUCACAAGUGUGAUGUUUGUUUUAGAAAAUUUAGUCAAAGAAGUUACUUAAAAGGACACAUGAGAACACAUACUGGUGAAAAACCUCACAAAUGUGAUAUUUGUUUUAGAAAAUUUACACAAAGUGGUCACUUAAACAGACACUUGAGAACACAUACUGG
rnacentral:lncRNA from 1 species